AUCGCUUCUCUGCCUUUUGGCUAAGAUCAAGUGUAGUAUCUGUUCUUAUCAUUUUAAUAUCUGAUAUGUCCACCACCAGGGACUACAUGGGGCAGCUGUG
rnacentral:snRNA from 1 species